rfam:Schistosoma mansoni, Puerto Rico, WGS project CABG01000000 data, contig: 0097
GUCCGGCUGACGAGUCCCAAAUAGGACGAAACGCACGCCUUGGAU